CAUAUGAUUGUUUCAUUAAAAACAAUACAUAAAAAAAUAUAGGUGUAAUCUAAUAGUAGAGGGUUGGGGUGUGCUGUUUGAUUGCCAAUAAAAAUAUAUAAUAAAAUGUCUAAAUUUUAGUGAAUUCAGUAAAACUUUAAAGGGAUAGUUGGAAAACGAUUAGGGUUGGAGGUGGAAAUUUUUGUUUACUCUUUUGGACAGAGAAUAUAAAAAACAUAUGGGAAGUACUGCAUCCAAACGCCCCAGUAACACAAUUGUCAACGAAAUGUACUGUCAGACCCUCGACCCCAUCUUGGCAUUCACACCAAUGAAGAACAAAAAGGAUCUUUACUACGAGAUCCGAUGUGACUGUGACAAUAAACUUUACGACGGAGUCGUCCUUGCAGAUGAGAGGGAAAUGCCAAAGUCCGACGCCCUCACAGACUCAGACAAAGAGGUGCAGACAGUUGAGGGACGGUGCGAAGAAGGCGUGCCAGGUUGUUCGGGCCAGGUUGUCCAGGCAAAGAAAUGCAGGAGGCGGGGGUCUUUUGAAAACGGGAAGGAUACCACCCUCGAAAGCAGGAAUUGGAGGAGGAUGUCGACCCACCCUUUUAUCAACUUUCUAAGGACAUUCAGGAGAAAUUCACCUCCAAAGAUGAACAUACACAUGAUUGCAAGGUGAAUGUUUCGCAUGAUGGACAGGACAGUGACUGUUUGUGAUUGUCAAAGUGCUUAAAUUAAGAGCCAUUUUGCUCUGGAUGCACAACACAACUGGACAGUAUGGUUCAGAUUCCCCCAAAAAAUUCCAUAAUUUGCUAUGACUGUCAAGCAGAUUUCCAAGAAAGGAAAGAUAAACUGCUAAACUUCACUUGAUUCAAUACACGAUUUGGUCUGGCUACACAAGUGCAGUCUGCAGACAGUGCAGUUUAGAUUUAGAAACAGACAGGGAAGGAUUGUAUGGCGUCAAAUGUCCCCACUCUGCAAGCUUCCCUUCAUCGAGCAAGCGAGAAGGGCAAGAUGUCGAGGAUAUAUAAAUUAAAAU